rnacentral:rRNA from 1 species
AUUGAAUGCUGGCGGCAGGCCUAACACAUGCAAGUCGAGCGAGCGGCGGACGGGUGAGUAAUGUAUGGGGACUGCCCGAUAGAGGGGGAUAACUACUGGAAACGGUAGCUAAUACCGCAUACUCUCUGAUUACCCAUAUGGGAUUAGCUCGUAGGUGAGGUAAUGGCUCACCUAGGCUACGAUCCCUAGCUGGUCUGGGAGGAUGAUCAGCCACACUGGGACGUAGACACGGCCCAGACUCCUACGGAGGCAGCAGGGGGGAAUAUUGCACAAGGGGCGCAAGCCUGAUGCAGCCAUGCCGCGUGUAUGAAGAAGGCCCUAGGGUUGUAAAGUACUUUCAGUCGGGAGGCGUUACCGACAGAAGAAGCACCGGCUAACUCCGUGCCAGCAGCCGCGGUAAUAC